AGGUCAAAAUGCGAUAAAACAGGCCUAUAAUGUAUAUGCAUAUAAAAAACACUGCUCCUAUGUAUAUCUGUAUAAAUAUUAGAAUAAAAAGUACUUUUCCUAGAUUCAGUACCCAAUUGAGGCUGGUUCCUUUGCGCAGAAAGGUCAUUGAUUAAAUAAACCAAUUUUGGACACAAAUAUGGGACCUCUAAAAAUUGUUUUCGUGCUUUGUGUGCUGACUCUUUAUACCCGCGGGGCUCCAGUCCCACAAGAUGACCAUGCAAUCAUGCCACCGCCCAUUAGUAAUGAUGGCAAAGCAAAUCACCGAUCUAGGCGCCAGGCAGCACCUCAGUGGCAGCCAGAUGCCCCUAAAAAGCCGAGCCAGGCAGAAGUAGUUCAGAAUAUAUUCAAUAUUCCCAUUUCUGUUUUGCAAGCAGUAAGCAAGUUGGUGAGCAUUCUACCCCCAGGCCCCCCCAAGGGUGCCCCGAAGCGCUGUGGCUAUAAUUGUUAGAGGGCAGAGUUUCAGUAGAAAAUUAAGUACAAAAAAUUGCCAAACUAUACCGGAUAUUACAUGUUUCUAAAUAGCAGC
rnacentral:lncRNA from 1 species